rnacentral:rRNA from 1 species
UUCGAGUGGCGACGGGUGAGUAACGCGUGGGUAACCUGCCUUACACAGGGGGAUAACACCUGGAAACAGGUGCUAAUACCGCAUAAGCGCACAGGGCCGCAUGGCCCGGUGUGAAAAACUCCGGUGGUGUAAGAUGGACCCGCGUCUGAUUAGCUUGUUGGCGGGGUAGAGGCCCACCAAGGCGACGAUCAGUAGCCGGCCUGAGAGGGUGGACCGGCCACAUUGGGACUGAGACACGGCCCAAACUCCUACGGAAGGCAGCAG